AACGAACGCUGGCGGCAGGCCUAACACAUGCAAGUCGAGCGCGCCCUUCGGGGUGAGCGGCGGACGGGGGAGUAACGCGUGGGAACGUGCCCUUUUCUACGGGAUAGCCUCGGGAAACUGAGAGUAAUACCGUAUAAGCCCUUUGGGGGAAAGAUUUAUCGGAAAAGGAUGGGCCCGCGUUGGAUUAGGUAGUUGGUGGGGUAAUGGCCUACCAAGCCGUGGAUCCAUAGCUGGUUUGAGAGGAUGAUCAGCCACUCUGGGACUGAGACACGGCCCAGACUCCUACGGGAUGCAGCAGAGGGGAAUCUUAGACAAUGGCGUCAACCCUGAUCGAGUCAGGCCGGGUGAGUGAUGAAGUCCUUAGGGUUGUAAAGCUCUUUCAGCUGGGAAGAUAAUGACGGUACCAGCAGAAGAAGCCCCGGCUAACUCCGUG
rnacentral:rRNA from 1 species